GUCACCGUUCGGCCUGUGUGUGCCUGCGGGUGCCCCGGGGAGGGUGGAGCGGAGUCGCGUGGUGGACUGAGGGCGUUAUCCUGCUAAGGGUGUUGGUGACGGUUUACUUCAUUAAGUGUGUAGCUGUGAGCUGUCAGGGCAAGAUUAUGACUGAACUAGAGGAGAACAUCACCCAGAGAUCUUGGACUUGGAGCUGGAUGCAGGCACUGAUGAGACUCUGGGUUUCCCCGUUGGGGGAGGAAGAAUCAACUUUCCAGCCCCUUGAGCAACCAGCGAGCCAGUCAUCCAUAUCUGCAACCAGACUUUGAUUUGAAUAGGGACCCUGUGGGAAGAUUAUAUGAAGAGGGAGAGGGACCCUGUUGUCAUAAUGUCCCCAUUAUCUGAAGAGAUGACUCCAGUCUCACCUGUCACCCGACUGCAACCAGAUGAGAAGCCCCAGGUGAGACCAGUGGAAGAACUGCCUACAUGAUCUCAGACAACCUACAGAAUCACAAGAGGGGGUCAUUCCAGUGCUUUCUAUUGAUGAAACUUAAAAUUCUGCCACCUGAUGACGGAGAACUUUUUGCAGGAUCCAAGUCCAGUAUCACAAAGUGCAGGGCAAAGAAGAGUGGAUUUGGAAUGGAGAGCCAAUAAAUUGAUAACUUGCA